GGCUCGGGCCGUGACUGGCGCUUGAGGUGGAUCACCACCGGGGAGCGGCCCGGCGGGAGCGCGUUCCACCGGCGCGACCGUACCGAUGCCGUGCGCCUGGGCGAAUCAC
rnacentral:ncRNA from 2 species